UGCGGGCUGCCUCCGGGCGCCCAACCUCCCACCCGUGACUACCUAACACUGUUGCUUCGGCGAGGAGCCCUCUCGGGGGCGAGCCGCCGGAGACCACUGAACUUCAUGCCUGUAGUGAUGAGUCUGAGAUUGAAUAUAAAUCAGUCAAAACUUUCAACAAUGGAUCUCUUGGUUCCGGCAUCGAUGAAGAACGCAGCGAACUGCGAUAAGUAAUGUGAAUUGCAGAAUUCAGUGAAUCAUCGAGUCUUUGAACGCACAUUGCGCCCCCUGGCAUUCCGGGGGGCAUGCCUGUCCGAGCGUCAUUGCUGCCCUUCAAGCCCGGCUUGUGUGUUGGGUCGUCGUCCCCCUCGGGGGACGGGCCCGAAAGGCAGCGGCGGCACCGUGUCCGGUCCUCGAGCGUAUGGGGCUUUGUCACCCGCUCGAUUAGGGCCGGCCGGGCGCCAGCCGGCGUCUCCAACCAUUUUUCUCAGGUUGACCUCGGAUCAGGUAGGGAUACCCGCUGAACUUAAGCAUAUCAAUAAGCGGA
rnacentral:rRNA from 1 species